CAGGCAAAACUUAUAGAGACGCCCCCUGGUGGAAGCGAAGCGGACAUCGCACCAAGUACCCGGCAACCCGCCAGACUGGGCCUGCACAGAGAAACCGAGAUGUGUGUUCUGUGGAGGCGUGGGUCACAGCCUUGGCUUCGGGCAACUUUAUCAACGACUCUGGCUCCAGAGUUGUUAGUUGUGUUGUACAUGUUUUACUCGUGUAUUGUGUAUGAGUAACACACAAGAAACAAUUGAGGAAUGAUACAAUGUAUAGUUGCUAACUACUGGUUUCUAUCGCAAGUGCUGAAGAGACUUUGGUCUCCACACCGAAUACUGUCUUUCCCUGUAGUCUUGAUCCAGCCAAGUGCGUAUUCCUUUUGCCUCCUCCAAUCUUCCCCGCAAUGUUAUAACUCCCUUCCAUUACAAACAAUGCACCGCUGAUA